UACGUAGGGGGCAAGCGUUGUCCGGAUUUAUUGGGCGUAAAGAGCGUGUAGGCGGCCAGGAGUAAUCGCUGUGAAAAUCUCGAGGCUCAACCUCGAGACUGGCGGUGAAACUAUCUGGCUAGAGUCCGGAAGAGGAGAAUGGAAUUCCUGGUGUAGCGGUGAAAUGCGCAGAUAUCAGGAAGAACACCCCGUGGCGAAGGCGGUUCUCUGGGACGGUACUGACGCUGGAGACGCGAAAAGCGUGGGGAGCGAACAGG
rnacentral:rRNA from 1 species